rnacentral:lncRNA from 1 species
GCAUGACCUGGUGCCUGGCCCAGCGGCAAUAAAGAGUGGGUGCACAGGGCAAUAGACUGGGUGCCACAUGCAUUCUUUCUUGGAACCCAGGCCACAGCAGCAUUGUCACACUUCCCUCUAAAAAUGGUUUUCCAGUUCAGAUGCAACAGGGAUACAUUUGUUCUCUGUUGUAUGAGAAACUGACACCAAGGGGAUCUUAAC